rnacentral:tRNA from 1 species
GGGACGGCAUGUACCAAGGCCGGCGACGGUGCCUUGCAAGCACUGUGUGGUGGGUUCGAUUCCGACCCGUUCCA